CUGCUGAUGAACGCAGCCCCCAGUGAUGCAUGUUGGCAUUGAACUGGCUGACUCCUGUAUAGAGCCGGUUCGGGGCGACCCACUCUUUGCGGGGCAGGUCCGAGCCGGGUGGGGCUUGAAGUGUUGCUCUUGUUAUGGG